UACGGGGGGAGCAAGCGUUGUUCGGAUUUACUGGGCGUAAAGGGCGCGUAGGCGGCGCAACAAGUCACUUGUGAAAUCUCCGGGCUUAACCCGGAGCGGCCAAGUGAUACUGUCGUGCUAGAGUGCGGAAGGGGCUACUGGAAUUCUCGGUGUAGCGGUGAAAUGCGUAGAUAUCGAGAGGAACACCUUCGGCGAAGGCGGGUAGCUGGGCCGACACUGACGCUGAGGCGCGAAAGCCAGGGGAGCGAACGGG
rnacentral:rRNA from 1 species